GACACUGCAGCUUCAACUCGUCAUAGUGAAACAGCCCAGAUUCUGGAACUCCCAGAUGAGUGGGAGACACGAGCGGCUCUCUGAAACCACAAACACGGCGUUCCAGUUUAACUGGUGAUCAUGGCAACUGUUGAUUUGUUGGCCUGAUGACGACGUCAUUACGCCACCGAGCCGAUUAGGUGUUCGGUGCGCUUCACCUUGAAUGAAGCGUGUUUUACUCUGUCAGCUGUAUAAUGUCUGUAUCAUGAUAAACUGCUAUAUCCUGCGCACAGACAAAGCAAAAGCCACAAAUAUUUCGCGUGCUUACUAUUAGUGCGCGUUUCGUGUGCUCGUUGAUAUCCUGGCUGUGUGAAGCAAGAAUACAAACACAAGUAAUGAGAAGCCUGUAAGAGCUUUUCGUGUGUCAUGGUUUGCUGGUUUGGUUUAAGGCGUUUUAUUUAGUGUGUAGACACAACACAAAUGGAAACCUGCGCACUAAUCUUCACUAACUUCAAACUGCCAUGGCAAAGUCACUCUAGAGACUACCAAUUUAUUUCCAGAUUCUGUAACCUCUAUGGUUAACUAAAAUAAUAUCCACACCUCAUACAGAUAUCUUUGAAGAUUUGUUUCUGUCCUCUGUUUCUUAUUUCUCCUUUUCCUCAUCAGGAACAGGUGGAAAUACCAACACAAUAAAAAUACUGUAUAAUUAAAUUAUAACUAAAGCGUACAUGGCCCAGUGGUUUUUAAAGGCUCCCCAGCUAAUGUUAACCAAUUAAAAUAUUAGCACAUCACAAAAAAGCACAUUUUAUCCGUGCGUGAUACAUCUGUGCUGUAAAGAGCAACUGAGUGUUGGCUAAUUUUAUUGAUCACAGCUUGUCCCAAUUGCCUAAAUAAUUAGUCUUUUGUCCCUGUGGAAUUCAGUUUGCAAGUUACACACUCAAUCACCAUCUGAUGUCUUUUUAUGCUAACAAUUCACACCUGGUGGUGGCAAAACCUACAUAUAUGGAUUUUUCAAAUUAUUUGUAUUAUUUAGAGCAGGAGUAGUAUAGAAAAGAGAAGAAAAUAUUGUAGAUAUAGGAUAGACUAUUGCAUAUAUUAGAUAUAGGGUAAAUUUGAGUAUCGAUAGGCAUAAAUUAGCAUAGGUUAAUAUUCAGAUUAGUAACAGUAUAGUCAGGGACACUUGUAUAUCUAUACACCUAUAUAUCUACAUAUACUUAAAAUGGACCGUAAAAUUGUAAGGGAAAUAAAAGACUUCCUAAGGCAUAAUGCCUAUCCUUUUGGUUUAUCUUCAAAAGAUUGUUUUAUUUUAUAAAGAGGAGAUGUGAAAAUUACACCUUUAAGGGUAAGUAGUAGGCCUUGUCAUUCCAAACAAUAAGGCACUGAUGUUGAGUUACUAAUAUCAUCAUGGCCCUCAGAUGGGCAGCUUCACUACGUAUGCCGUAGAAGGAAGCAGGGCGAGUAUCUCGCCAAAGUUGUUACCUCAACAGAGGAGGCAAAUGACGUGUUUGUGGAUUUCCAUGCGAGUGAGCAUGGAGGGCAUUGUGGGAUGGAGAAAACUGUGGACGCCAUUUCCUUGCGGUACUACUGGCCUGGGAUGGAAAAGGACAUACGGAAAUGGAUCAUAAAUGCAUACCUCGUGCUUGCACUGAGGCAUUUCACUGAGGCAGGCAAAGGCAGGGGCUUUCCACUGGAGUCCUUCCAAAUGACUGACAUUUGGCAAGGAAAGAACAAAGGACUGAGGAAGGUGAUAAAUGUGAAUACACUGAAUAUCAGGGAGGAUUUUUUUAUUCAUGUUCCUUCACUUGUAGGCCUAUAUUUUAUUUGUCUUUGUCCUAUGUUUAUUUAUUCUGCAUCUUAAUAUUAGAGCAGAUUGCUCAUGUGAAAACCUGUUUAAGUUUCUGUGUUCUAUAUUGCAUAAAUGCAGGUAGAUCCUCUGGAUUAUGACGUCAUGGUUGGAGCUGCUUGCGAGCACCAACAUUGGACACUAACUUUGGCUAUAAUCACAAUAUACAGCUCCUGUUUGAAUAAUUCCUUGUUGCCUUUUCUAAUUUGUCCAGGUGAUAUAUCCUAAACAGAGGCACUCCGUGUAUGUGGAUCCUUUUGGGGCACAGAAGGAUGCAUUCAAAAAAAUGCAGUGCAGUGACCAGGGCUUUCAUGAGGCAGCGAGGCCACAACUCCUCCUGUGAAACAGUUUCACACGCUCCUCAAGAGGAUGCAACCUCAUGUGGUGUUAUUGUGUCUAAAUUAGCAGACAUGAUUUCAAAUGAAGAGGAAAUAGACGUCAUUUUUAAUAAGCCUGCAAUCAUAACUCAGAGAAUGCAGAUAGGCCAACGGCUGAUCCAAGAAACAGAUUGCUUGUACACUGUGUGAGAGCUGGUUCCACUGCAGCUGUGUUGGGUAACCACCAGUGGAUGGUCACUUUUAUUGCCCACUGUUACGACCUGGCUCGAUAGGAAUGAAGUGGCAACAUAAAACCAGGUGUUUUUGGAUAUAGAAGUUUAUUAUGAUGUCGGACGUGUGGUAAGCACAAGGGGCACAGCGGUGUCCAAAUGUGUGAAGUAUGAACGAUAAUUCCGAGUUUACGGUUAAGUUGUGACAACAGCACAUGGUAAGUGGUUCACAGGCUUCACAGUCAUCAGAACAUAGAGGUGACGCUCCUCUUCGGCCUGAUCAGUGGCGUAGUGGGCAGUGCAAUUGCCAUUACGUUAGAUGUUUUUAUGUGGACCACAGCACAUCGAUUCCCGUGGUGGGAUUUUUUCACAUUUAUAUUUAGCCCCACAACUAAGUGGUUUUGUCUGAAGAUGAUACUGACACAAAAAGGCACUUAAUUGUUACUGAUGUUUCCUGAAGUGUCCUCAAUUGCCUGUAUCACACACAACUUUGUUCGUGAAAAUACAAAAAAUAUAGUUGUAUUAUUAGUAUUUAUCACUAUUAUAAUUUGCCAGAGUUGUCAUAGUUAAACAGGGUACUUUAUUGGUUAAAUGCGCCUAUUGUAGGUCGCUUUGAAUAAAAGUGUCAGCUAAAUAAUAUGUAAUGAGCUGCAGUAGUGGAAUAAUUGUGGAAAAGUAUUGACACUGUCAGGAGUUCUGUCCUAACCCAGAUGAAAAGAAAGUGGCUUGAUGAUAAAACAAAACCUGAGUUUAUGAUCCUGAUCCUGUUGUGUUACAAGCAUGAACAUUGUG